UCCAACCAUUGGAGUGGUUGCAGAUGUCGGAGGAGAUGCCCAUGCCAUCCAAUAGUUGCUUGCUACCUGAAAUAUUUGGAAGAAUGACUGUGCGGCUAUUGUUAGUGGCACUAAGGCUCCACCAUGAACUGCCCUCAGGAGUUGCAGUCUUCAAUCUUUGUCUCCACCAUCUGAUUUUCUUGAACAGAAAUUGAGCCGAUAUACUCAUGAUGAAUAUCAGUUGUAUCAGUGCAAAAGUGGUCAUCCAGAAGCAAGGAUCAGGAAAGCAGAAUUGAAAAGGAAAAUGGGGUGAAGGAGAACGGUAUGCGGUGUAACUGCGUUCGUGGAUAUGCUGAAGAAAAGAACCAGACGCAUGCAGAUGCAGAUGCUGAGAUUAAUCCCGGACGAAGAGUUACCUGAGGAAUCAUCGAGCAAGCCCCCGCGGAUAAACAUCUUGGGGAUCCUCGCGAGAACCGGGAGCUGCAGGCUCCCUCUCUCCAUCGUGUCUGCCCAAUGAGCGAGCGAGCGAGAGAGAGAGAGAGAGAGACCAAGAGAGGGAUGGAAUUGGAGGGAGGGAGGAGAGAAAUAGAGGGGGGAGGCGGUGGUGAACUGGUGACGGUUUAUAGUGGAGGUGGAGACUGGAGACGCCGCCUGAGACACCCCUGAUGGUUGCGCUUUUGGCGUGUCAUGGUGCCCGCAGAUCCCGAUCAUGCAGUUUUUCGCCGGGCGCGCCCCGCACGGCCCGUAGGAAAAACGCCGCUGCCUAUCAGUAUUUUACUUAUGCUAAGAAUUUGUUUUUGACUGUACAGUGUACACUAAACAGUUGGAUUGCAAAUUUGUACAUAAUCAGUUCAGCAAAUUAAUGCAAAGAUAUGUUUUGCUAAUUUUGCUGGUACAA